UUUUUUUUGCAAACUGAACUUGAGGUUCAAUUCCUACAAGCAAGCAAUUGAAACUUAAAUUCACAAGAAGGUUCGCAACUGCUUCUGCAUUGCCGGAUGCAACGUACACGAACAGGAGGUCCAGAAAACAAAGUCGUCGAAACAAGUGGCGUAGGCUAUGUACCAAAAGUAGUAGAAAAUUUAGGGCUAUGUACCAAAAGUAGUGGAAAAUUUGGUUCAAGACAUUCAAAAAGUUUGAAAAAUUCUUAUCUCAUAGUGAAUUGUUUUUCAUUUUCUAAUGAUUAUAUAUUAUCUUUUAUACUACUUUUUGUGUACAUAUAUCACACUCACUGUUUUUUGUAUACAUAUCACUAUCUCUGUUGAUAGCCUAAGCUGUCCCAUACGAAGUUCGGCGUACGUUAAUUUCAAAUUUUCAAUAGACAAGUCUCGCUGCAGAAAGUCGGUCUUCAAGGUUUAUCCAAAGUACUAUACAAUCCUCCACCAAACACAUUCAAGCAUUAAAAACCGACACAAUAACAUUAAAAAUCUACACAUUAACCAAUCCCAUUUCAAUUGCAGGGAUAGAACACAUGUUGAGUUAAAGCCAAUUUACAGGCGAGUUAAAACUUUACCAUCAGAAAAAUGAUAUACAGGUUACAUGAAGCAACUGGUACAAAAUUAGCAGAGAAGGUUAGAAACCUAAGAGGUUAUUCUACUGCAUCCAAAAUUGCCACCUGACAAAUACAGGCCAUGGUUACAUAAAAACACAGGCUGAGAGAACUCGGAUGCUGGGACUUCUCAUAAAACAUAUUCAGAACUGACAGGCAUCGUGUGAUAGUGAAUUACUAUGCCCCAACAGAAAGAUGCAUCCAGAAGAUGCACCACAUACUAUACAUACUUCUGAUCAGACCAAAGCUAAGAAACUAACAUCUACUUGCUAGCAUGGACCUGAACCUCUUAUCUGCAAUAAGACCGUCUGAUCACCUAGACAUAACCAAGCUUGUAAGAGGAGACACAACUGAAGAUUUGAAUAAAGAGCCUCUCAUGUACUUGCAGUUAUCAUCAACUUUUAUAGAUGCCGGAAACAAAAAUCUUUCACAAAAACCUGAUCCCACCACUGCCCGGGUGUGUUUACCCUCAGGAUCACUACAAUGCAGCCUAUGGACAGAGCUCCCACCACCACGUCUUCUCUUCCUUGAUGACUUCCACUUCAACUGGGCAAGCAAAUCAUCCUUUGCAAGAUCUAGAACUGGAUUCGAGUUUUUGAUCUUGUCAUCUCCAGAAUCUGAAAGAGAUUCACCAUGCUCAGUUUCAAUAUUAAAUUGCUGUCCACCAACGCAGAGAGUAGCUUGCACUGAGUUGCCAUCACAUGAUUUCUCCUCAUCUUGCUUUGUUCCCGAGCAACAUAAUAUAGAACUCACAACAUCAGAUCUUUCCUUUAUAAACAUCCACCCAUUUCCAAACCAUUCUUGAGAAUGUCUCAAGUCACCACGGCUGAAGAUUGAUUUUUGCUUUUCUCCUGCAAAAAUAUGAGAAGAAAAUAAAACAAAUUUGUGUAAUAAAGAUGAGUGAUAAUUUUUUUUGCAAACUGAACUUGAGGUUCAAUUCCUACAAGCAAGCAAUUGAAACUUAAAUUCACAAGAAGGUUCGCAACUGCUUCUGCAUUGCCGGAUGCAACGUACACGAACAGGAGGUCCAGAAAACAAAGUCGUCGAAACAAGUGGCGUAGGCUAUGUACCAAAAGUAGUAGAAAAUUUAGGGCUAUGUACCAAAAGUAGUGGAAAAUUUGGUUCAAGACAUUCAAAAAGUUUGAAAAAUUCUUAUCUCAUAGUGAAUUGUUUUUCAUUUUCUAAUGAUUAUAUAUUAUCUUUUAUACUACUUUUUGUGUACAUAUAUCACACUCACUGUUUUUUGUAUACAUAUCACUAUCUCUGUUGAUAGCCUAAGCUGUCCCAUACGAAGUUCGGCGUACGUUAAUUUCAAAUUUUCAAUAGACAAGUCUCGCUGCAGAAAGUCGGUCUUCAAGGUUUAUCCAAAGUACUAUACAAUCCUCCACCAAACACAUUCAAGCAUUAAAAACCGACACAAUAACAUUAAAAAUCUACACAUUAACCAAUCCCAUUUCAAUUGCAGGGAUAGAACACAUGUUGAGUUAAAGCCAAUUUACAGGCGAGUUAAAACUUUACCAUCAGAAAAAUGAUAUACAGGUUACAUGAAGCAACUGGUACAAAAUUAGCAGAGAAGGUUAGAAACCUAAGAGGUUAUUCUACUGCAUCCAAAAUUGCCACCUGACAAAUACAGGCCAUGGUUACAUAAAAACACAGGCUGAGAGAACUCGGAUGCUGGGACUUCUCAUAAAACAUAUUCAGAACUGACAGGCAUCGUGUGAUAGUGAAUUACUAUGCCCCAAC
rnacentral:lncRNA from 1 species